AGCUUCUCCAGCAAUAAUAAAUACUAAAUAUAAUUUAGAAUUCAUAGAGUCCAAUUUAUAAAAAACAUUGUUGGCCCAUUUUCACAGGAUGCUCAAACGACAUAUAAAUUAUGCAUGCCCAUGGUUAAUCAACCUCUUUUUUUUCCAGCGUCUGAGUAGUAACCCUUUGUUUGUUCGCUUCAAAGAGGGUAGAGCCAGUAGAAAGAGGGCAGACCUAACAUCUGCAGAUGAGCCUAGUCUCUUGUGUUGCAGUCCAUCACCAUUGAAAAAGGGACAAAUAUCCAGCUGCACAGAAGGCAUAUGUACUAUGAGGCCCCUAUCAUCACUGUCUACUUUGUCAUCAUAAUUCUUCCACCUCUGUAGGUCUGGCAAAACACUCUGCAUGGAUGAAAUCUAUGAACACUGUCAGUGGCGGAUUGAAACCUUUUUUCUGUAUAGAGGUCCUUUCUACUCUAAAUAUUUCUGGAAGGCACUCCUUUAAAGCCAUGAUCCAACCAGCAGAGACUCCCUAUGCCUGAAGAAGGGUGACUGUGCCCGAAAGCUU